rnacentral:rRNA from 1 species
AACGAACGCUGGCGGCAGGCUUAACACAUGCAAGUCGAACGCAUGCCUUCGGGCAUGAGUGGCAGACGGGUGAGUAACGCGUGGGAACCUACCCCUUGGUACGGGAUAGCUCCGGGAAACUGGAGAUAAUACCGUAUGUGUCCUGAGGGACAAAGAUUCAUCGCCAAGGGAUGGGCCCGCGUCGGAUUAGCUAGUUGGUGGGGUAACGGCCUACCAAGGCGACGAUCCGUAGCUGGUCUAAGAGGAUGAUCAGCCACAUUGGGACUGAGACACGGCCCAAACUCCUACGGGAGGCAGCAGUGGGGAAUAUUGGACAAUGGGCGCAAGCCUGAUCCAGCCAUGCCGCGUGAGUGAUGAAGGCCCUAGGGCUGUAAAGCUCUUUCACCGGUGACGAUAAUGACGGUAACCGGAGAAGAAGCCCCGGCUAACUUCGUG